rnacentral:lncRNA from 1 species
AUUUUCAUAGCUCUGGAAAAUUUAUACAGGCAGUGUCAAGCCUCUCAGAUAAAGCUAAAAAAGCAUAUUUUGCAUUGAAGUCAAAACUACCAUAUAGUGAAAAUUUGUCUGUUAAGACUUGGCUCCAGCUUUUUAAUUCAAUGAUAACUCCUAUUUUAACUUAUGGAUCAGAAGUAUGGAUAUCAGAAUUCAAACCAAAUUUUGAAGCAUUAGACAAAAGUAAAUUAGAAAAAACACAAAACUCCAUAUUUAAAAACAUACUUGGGGUUCAUGGAAAGUCUUCCAAUCUAGCAGUGCGGUGUGAAUUGGGCACUUUACCCAUUAGCAUUAAAUGUUAUCAACUUAUGUAUAAAUAUUAUGAGCGUCUCAGUGAUAUUGGUGAACGGUCUGGUGGUCCGCAUGAAAUUCUCAAGGCUGCUUUUGAAGUGGACAAAACUCUCACAAAUAGAGAAAAUUCAUGGUCUUAUAAACUAUCUGAAUUAAUGAAAUAUAUUGGAAUACCCUUUAACAAGCAUUGUAAUAGUAAUUUCAAACAGAAACUAGAAGAUUUCUACAAAAAUAAAAUUAUAUUUGAACUUUCUAAGAUAAAAGAUG